UGGGGAAUAUUGCACAAUGGGCGCAAGCCUGAUGCAGCCAUGCCGCGUGUAUGAAGAAGGCCUUCGGGUUGUAAAGUACUUUCAGCGGGGAGGAAGGGAGUAAAGUUAAUACCUUUGCUCAUUGACGUUACCCGCAGAAGAAGCACCGGCUAACUCCGUGCCAGCAGCCGCGGUAAUACGGAGGGUGCAAGCGUUAAUCGGAAUUACUGGGCGUAAAGCGCACGCAGGCGGUCUGUCAAGUCGGAUGUGAAAUCCCCGGGCUUAACCUGGGAACUGCAUUCGAAACUGGCAGGCUAGAGUCAUGUAGAGGGGGGUAGAAUUCCAGGUGUAGCGGUGAAAUGCGUAGAGAUCUGGAGGAAUACCGGUGGCGAAGGCGGCCCCCUGGACGAAGACUGACGCUCAGGUGCGAAAGCGUGGGGAGCAAACAGG
rnacentral:rRNA from 1 species